CCUACGGGGGGCAGCAGUGAGGAAUAUUGGUCAAUGGGCGCGAGCCUGAACCAGCCAAGUAGCGUGAAGGAUGACGGUCCUACGGGUGGUAAACCUCUUUUAUAAAGGAAUAAAGUGAGGCACGUGUGCCUUUUUGUAUGUACCUUAUGAAUAAGGAUCGGAUAACUCCGUGCCAGCAGCCGCGGUAAUACGGAGGAUCCGAGCGUUCUCCGGAUUUAUUGGGUUUAAAGGGUGCGUAGGAGGGUGUUUAAGUCAGUGGUGAAAGUCUGUGGCUCAACCGUAAAAUUGCAGUUGAAACUGGGAGUCUUGAGUAUUGUUGAGGCAGGCGGAAUGCGUUGUGUAGCGGUGAAAUGCUUAGAUAUCACGAAGAACCCCGAUUGCGAAGGCAGCUUACCAAGCCAUCACUGACGCUGAUGCACGAAAGCGUGGGGAUCAAACAGGAUUAGAUACCCCUGUAGUC
rnacentral:rRNA from 1 species